GCUUUCUUGGCUCAGUUGGUAGAGCGUCGGUCUCAUAUUCAGCAGAUGAUAUGACGCAGGGGAUUCGAGACCUUGUGAUAUCCGAAGAUCGAGAGUUCGAUCCUCUCAGAGAGCA